CAGUCGAGAAUCUUCGGCAAUGGGCGCAAGCCUGACCGAGCGACGCCGCGUGGAGGACGAAGGCCUUCGGGUUGUAAACUCCUGUCGAGGGGGAAGAAGGGGUAAAACCUUGACUGAUCCCUGGAGGAAGCACGGGCUAAGUUCGUGCCAGCAGCCGCGGUAAGACGAACCGUGCGAACGUUAUUCGGAAUCACUGGGCUUAAAGCGCGUGUAGGCGGGAGGGCACGUCGGUCGCUGAAAUCCCCCGGCUCAACCGGGGAAGUGGCGCCGAUACGACCUUCCUGGAGGAACGUAGGGGGACCUGGAACUUCCGGUGGAGCGGUGAAAUGCGUUGAGAUCGGAAGGAACGCCCGUGGCGAAAGCGAGGUCCUGGACGUUUUCUGACGCUGAGACGCGAAAGCCAGGGGAGCAAACGGGAUUAGA
rnacentral:rRNA from 1 species